UACGAAGGGGGCUAGCGUUGUUCGGAAUUACUGGGCGUAAAGCGCGCGCAGGCGGUCCUUCAAGUCAGAGGUGAAAGCCCAGAGCUCAACUCUGGAACGGCCUUUGAGACUAGAGGACUUGGGUACGGGAGAGGUGAGUGGAAUUCCGAGUGUAGAGGUGAAAUUCGUAGAUAUUCGGAAGAACACCAGUGGCGAAGGCGGCUCACUGGCCCGUUACCGACGCUCAGGCGCAACAGCGUGGGGAGCAAACAGG
rnacentral:rRNA from 1 species